AAGUACCCAGAGCACAAUACACUGGAGAAGGCCGCAGGGACCUCUGCCUAGGAAAGCCAGAAAAACUCACUACCCAGCCCACAGGCAGAGAAGGGAGUGGAGGCGGCCAGCGGUGUGUCUCAGAAGAGCUGUAAAUACUGUGCUGACACAGGGUUGCAUGUAACCACAAUUGGAGAAAUGCUUUCUACUAAGCCAAAGGUAAAUUGGCACUGCCAAUUGCUACUUCACAGAAAGUAAAAAUGAUGUUGAGAGGAAAGCAAGGAAGUAUGGGAUCUUGUGCUGCUGUUGUUACCUGGCUGCUCCAAAGAACCAUAAGAUUAUAACCAACUCAUCUUGGUUUGCCUGGGAUUUUCCUGGUUUAUCACUGAAAUUCCUGUAUCCUGGAAGACCCUUGAGCCCCAAGCAAACUAGGACAGUUGGUCACCUACUGAAGAAACUUCCUUAAAAAAGAGUUUGCACAGUUGUAGCUACCAGAAGAAAGCUCAGCAAAGAUUCAAAGUCCUUCUAAAAUGAUCCAGAUUGAGAAUACCAGCUGCUGGGGAAUCAUUAUUAGGCAUUACAUCAAGAGGAGGCAUCAAAAAUCCAACAGGAGAAGCUACCUUUGCUAACAAUAGCGAAGAGGCAGAAUUCAGAAUUCUUACUGAUUGGAGUCAUCACAAGAUUAUAUUAUAUUACAUUAUUAUAUUAGAUUAGAUGGUUUCUCCUGCUAGAAGCAACUUUUAUUUUUUUUAACUUUAGCAGUCUUUUAUUUCCAAAAUGAGUAAAUCAAUGGACAAAAAAGAAAUAGGAAGAAAAUGAAUUUGGCAUAACUCAUUACUAGAAAAGCAAUGUUCAUUUUGAAUAAUGGGAAACUGAAUUUGUGUGAAUUUGUGUGACAUCAUCCAAAGCCUCCAAUUUCACCAAUGUCAUUCCUUUGCAUCUGAGUCACACAGUUGGUAGUUUUUCACUUUAACUCUUCCAAAAUAAAAGUAAAUAAAAAUAUUCUAUUAGGAAACCUGAUAAAUUUUGAAACCCAAAAGCUCAAGCCAGUUCUAUAGACCUUGAAUUUUUCAACCUAGCACUAAAAUUGUCAGUAAUGGAUUGGAUAGAAUACAGGCUUACACAGAAACAAACAUGGUUGACUUUUUCCAGACACAGAAAAUAAGGUUACCAAUGUUAUAAAAUCUCUAAGUUGUAUCUACUUGGAGAUACUGUGCUUGAUAUCAGUGGUCCCGAUUUCAUUAGGAGAAAUCUGAUCAUCUUUCUGGAAUUGAAAACUGGAAAUGGCCCAGCUGGAUUUCCUUUUAGAAGACACAAGGUUUCUUGAAAUGAGCUAUCCAAAAGUAAGAUAUUCCUUUCUUGCACCAGUAAAGACUGAAUGAGCCUGAACAGGUGUUGCAUAAAUGACCACUUGAUCACCCAAAUGCAUGAGCCUCUCUUCUUUCUGGAUACAAGGUCAAGCCAAAUCAUGUUUUCUUGCCUCCCUUUUACUUAUGUGUGGCCAUGUACUAAAUUCUAGCCAAAAGAAAGGAAGCAGAAAUGAUAUGUGCUACUACCAAGAUUGGACUAUGAAAACCUACUACACAUUCUCCUCAAUGUAUGCUUCACUUCAAGUCUACCAAGAUGGUGGCUUACAGGGUAUCGAAAUCUGCUGAAGAUGAGAGAACCUGCAUUCACCUGGGAGCCCGAAUGACUGUUAAGAAGGUCGCCUGUCCAGUUGAUCACUUGACUGGUUUAUGUGGGGAAAAAUAUAUUCAGCAAGAGCUGAUAUGGUUUCAGGAGUAUUGCUAGAGAAGUUAGCCUACUUUCACCAAUUUGAACAAAAGCCGAAGAUAGGCUGCAUUAUGAAGGCACUGUUUCUAGGGCUUGCUGUAAAAGAUGAUAUCCAGGUAAUGAGCAUUCGUGAGGGCAGGUGAUGCCUUUUGCUAUGUGCCAUGUCAAUGCACAAGACAGACAUACUUUCUCUAAGGCAGUCUAUUUCCAGCAGAGAGUUUUCUUAAGUGUGAAAAGAUAUUGCAGUAGACAAGCAAGAUUUCUUUUUAUUUCUGCUAAAGGUAAUAAACAUUAAGGUCUCAUUUUAAAAAAUAUAAAUAAAUUGAAUUAUAGGUGAAAAGGAAUGCAUCAUGCUGCUACUUAACAUUUCUUUGAUUUCCCCAAAUGGAAAUUAUGAUUAAGCCUAAGUUUUAAGUUAUAAGUCAUUUGAGACGCUUCUGAAUGUUGUCUCCAAAUUUGUCUCCAUAUUUGAAGAACUAUGUAUUUCUCCAAGGACUCAUAAAGUGGAGAGCGGUCAAAUGUGCCAACAGCCUAAGAAAAGGAAAACUUUUAAGUGAAGGAAAUGUUGCUAAUAAGUGGAAAGGUUACGUUUUAUUGAGUAUACACAUUUAUGGUCAUAGUUUUAAGUUUCGCUUCAAGCAGCAUUGCCAAGAUUAAAGUUAUAAUUAAAUCCCCAUUUUAUAAAGAUGUCAGUUAGUUUUUUCAGUGAUUUUAUGAUUUAAUUAAGGACUAGGACAACUUAUUGCAAGCAUGAGUAGUUUUAAUAGUAAAAUAUAGUUUAGAUUACUAACUUGAUGUUCCAGAGGGACUGCUUCCUUGUGAAAGGGUAAUUCACUGUAAGACUUCCUUAUGUUCAAACCUGUUCUCUCUUCAUGCAGUGUAUUUUAUGACUCAGUUUUGUGGUUUCCACAUACAACUAUCCUAAUAGCAGCUGCUUCCCAACCUCCCCCCACCACACACACACACACACACACACACACACACACACACGUUUUUGUCUUACAGAUUUAGUUCUUUACUUGUGGUGAAACUAUUAGAAUAGAGGCAAAAUGCUACAUGAAUCUACAAAGAUAUACGUCUUCUAAUGAAAAUAGUAAUUACUUUUUCAUAAUUUCACAAAAUGAAUAAGCCUAAACAAACAAGACACAUGCAAUGACCAGAGGAAAAAAGAGGCAAUUCCUAAAACACAUGUACAAAGCUUCGUUUACACUGAGCUCCGGCCUUUUUUUGCCUCUUAAGGAAAUUUGUUUCAGUGGAGGAGUUGUGAGAGUACUUGUCACAUACAGGUAUCAGCUUUUUCCUACCACAAAGGAAAGAAAAAGAAAAGAAGCUGAUGAACCUGAUUAAUAAUAAUUUAGGGUGGCAGACGUAGAAGGGAGUCAGAGAUUCAUCCAGUGCAUUUUUAUAAUCUAAUAUUGGACAAAACUAAAUACACGUACAGGAUCACAAGAUGCCUUAACGGAGUCUAUAUUGGACAUACAAAGACUUGAUGAUUAAAGCUCUUAAAAACAGA